AAGAAUCCCAAAGAACAGCACUCAACAUUCUUCAGAAUGGUUGUUAAAUCAAGGCUUGAAGGAUGCCCUGAGAAUUACAAGGCAAGAAGGCAUUGACUGGACACAGCAGAAACAGCACAAAGGGUGCAUCACUCCCUGUCUGAGAGGUGUGAGCUCAGGAGCCGUGUAUGAAAGCAGACAACACAGACUUGAACACAAGUUCUGCCUUUCUGCCAAAGGGGACUGGAAGUGAUCUGAAGUGCAAAAAGAGACAGAAACCACUGACUUCAGUGGAAUGUGAGGCAUGCUUUCCCCUUUGUUUUCCAGCAUGUUUGACUAUUACAAGAAAACAUUGUCUCCAGCUUUGAAUCUUUCCAACCAUAACAUCAGCCGAAGCUAAAAGGUGCUGAGCACUUUCUGAGAAGGUGCAGAGCUCCACUAAUUCCCAUUAAGGCUCUGUAACAAGAAAGGGGCAGCCUUCUGACACUGAAGCACGUUCGCAGCUUUCAAACUGUAAUGUUUCUGUGUCAUAAAGCUGCCCUGCUGGUACUAAAUCUAAUCACUACCACGUGCCCCAUCUCUCAUGUAAGCAUGUUUUGGAGAAUACUUUCUACAAUAGCUCAUCUGUGGAUUCAACCACAAAUGAAAUGUCUUGCUUAUGUUGCACUCCCUUUCCUGCCUGCCUGUGCAGAAUAAAGAGAAAAGUUUCUUCAG